rnacentral:rRNA from 1 species
AAACCAGCACCUCAAGUGGUCAGGAGGAUUAUUGGGCCUAAAGCAUCCGUAGCCUGUUCUGUAAGUUUUCGGUUAAAUCCAUUAGCUCAACUAAUGGGCCGCCGAAAAUACUGUAGAACUAGGGAGUGGGAGAGGUAGACGGUAUUCGGUAGGAAGGGGUAAAAUCCUUUGAUCUAUUGAGGACCACCUGUGGCGAAGGCGGUCUACCAGAACACGUUCGACGGUGAGGGAUGAAAGCUGGGGGAGCAAACAGGAUUAGAAACCCCAGUAGUCC